rnacentral:rRNA from 1 species
AUACAGAGGGUGCGAGCGUUAAUCGGAAUUACUGGGCGUAAAGCGCGCGUAGGCGGCUUAUUAAGUCAGAUGUGAAAUCCCCGGGCUCAACCUGGGAACUGCAUCUGAUACUGGUAAGCUAGAGUUUUAGAGAGGGAAGUAGAAUUUCAGGUGUAGCGGUGAAAUGCAUAGAGAUCUGAAGGAAUACCAGUGGCGAAGGCGACUUCCUGGCCAAAAACUGACGCUGAGGUGCGAAAGCGUGGGUAGCAAACGGGAUUAGAAACCCUAGUAGUCC